rnacentral:rRNA from 1 species
CUGGCGGCGUGCUUACCAUGCAAGUCGAACGGUAAGGCCCCUUCGGGGGUACACGAGUGGCGAACGGGUGAGUAACACGUGAGCAACCUGCCCUUGACUUCGGAAUACCAGCUGGAAACAGCUGCUAAUACCGGAUAUGACCCUGGUCCUCCUGGACUGGGGUGGAAAGCUCCGGCGGUCAGGGAUGGGCUCGCGGCCUAUCAGCUUGUUGGUGAGGUAAUGGCUCACCAAGGCUUCGACGGGUAGCCGGCCUGAGAGGGCGACCGGCCACACUGGGACUGAGAUACGGCCCAGACUCCUACGGGAGGCAGCAGUGGGGAAUAUUGCACAAUGGGCGCAAGCCUGAUGCAGCAACGCCGCGUGCGGGAUGACGGCCUUCGGGUUGUAAACCGCUUUCAGUAGGGACGAAGCUAACGUGACGGUACCUACAGAAGAAGGACCGGCUAACUACGUGCCAGCAGCCGCGGUGAU